rnacentral:rRNA from 1 species
GACGAACGCUGGCGGCGUGCUUAACACAUGCAAGUCGAACGGAAAGGCCCUGCUUUUGUGGGGUGCUCGAGUGGCGAACGGGUGAGUAACACGUGAGUAACCUGCCCUUGACUUUGGGAUAACUUCAGGAAACUGGGGCUAAUACCGGAUAGGAGCUCCUGCUGCAUGGUGGGGGUUGGAAAGUUUCGGCGGUUGGGGAUGGACUCGCGGCUUAUCAGCUUGUUGGUGGGGUAGUGGCUUACCAAGGCUUUGACGGGUAGCCGGCCUGAGAGGGUGACCGGCGACAAUGGGACUGAGAUACGGACCAGACUGCUACGGGAGGCAGCAGUGGGGAAUAUUGCACAAUGGGCGGAAGCCUGAUGCAGCAACGCCGCGUGCGGGAUGACGGCCUUCGGGUUGUAAACCGCUGUCGCCUGUGACGAAGCGUGAGUGACGGUAAUGGGUAAAGAAGCACCGGCUAACUACGUG